rnacentral:tRNA from 1 species
GCCUGAGUGGCUCAGUCGGUUAAAGCAUCCAACUUCGGCUCAGGUCAUGAUCUCACCGUUUGUGGGUUCAAGCCCCGCAUCAGGCU